rnacentral:miRNA from 1 species
CGAAAGUAUGCUAGUGGCAAGC